AGGAAGAAUUGUGAUGGGUGCAGAAAGAAACACUCUAAGAACAAUUCCAGAAAGAAAUAAAAACAAUGAUGGGUACUCUAAGAACAAUUCCAGAAAGAAAUAAAAACAAUGAUGGGUGCUGUUAGACUGGGCCCAUACACCAAAAAGACAGCCCAACUGGAUGAAGGACUUUAUAAUAGGAUAGACUCAUGUGUCCUUAGUAAAUGUCUGCCAUUUUAUUAUUGAAAGGUUUUUGUAAGGCCCAUGACCCUUUUUUACCCUUAUAGGGGACUAAGCAAUAGGAAAAGAGGGCAGAGAAGUUUUUGGUAACCCUAGUUUUAGAUUAACAGUAGCAAAAGCCUAACAAUUUGGUGCUUUCAUUGCUCCUACCAUGGCUCCCCAACCUCCAUCAACAGAUCUGAACGAGGCCUUAGCCAACAUCCAAACAAAUCUCACCAACAUCCAAAGCCAACUGGCCGAACACACUAGCAGACAAUCUACCUUAGAGGCUCAAAAUGACCACCUUCACUCUACAUUCACGUCCAUCCUGGACCAGGUUGCUCUAUUGACUCCAACGGAGACUAAAAUUCCACACAUAAACCAGCAAAGUAGCCAUCAUUCCAAUCACUCAAACCAGCAACCACCCAACACCCCUUCCAUACGACCACCCACACUCAACCUAUCCUUCUUUGACGGUACAAAUCCACUAGAUUGGCUUUUUCAAGCGGACCAAUAUUUCUCUUUCUAUCAAAUACCGUUGGACCAACGCAUUCCUAUGGUGGGGUUUCAUAUGCAGGGAGACGCUCUCUCAUGGUUUAAAUGGCUGCACAAUAACCACCUACUCACAGAUUGGCACUUCUUCACAAGGGCUUUGGAGCUUCGUUUUGGCCCCUCCACCUAUAUCAAUCAUCAAGUGGAGUUGUUCAAACUCCAGCAAACCACGUCGGUCACUGAAUACCAAGGCAGGUUUGAACGCUUAUGCAAUUGUGUGGUGGGUCUCACUCCUGAAACUAUACUUAAUUGUUUCAUAUCUGGUCUGAAUGUUGAAAUCCGCAGAGAACUUACUAUAUUGAACCCAUAUUCUAUUGCCCAAGCCAUAGGUCUAGCUAAGCUUAUUGAAGACAAACUCAGAGAUUCUAAACCUAAACAAAUUCGAUUUCCAGCACCUACCUAUCCCCACCCUAACCCCACUCCCUCAUUCACUAACAGAACCAGCACACCCACAACACCCCCAGCCCAUAUGUCCAUCAAACGUUUAUCCUCCUCACAAAUGCAAGAGAGACGAGCCCUAGGGUUAUGCUACAACUGUGACGAAAAAUUCUUCCCUAGCAUAAAUGCACUUCCUCUCGAUUUUUGCUUACCUAGAACUCCUAGCUGAACCCAAUGAGGAGAUUUCCCCCACACAUGACCACGCCAACACUAUCCACUUUCACCUUUCACCUCAAGCCAUAUCAGGUACUAUUUCCCCAAAAACCCUCAAAUUCACAGGUCUAAUUCAUCACCUCCCUGUUACCGUCCUCAUUGACUCGGGAAGCUCCCACAACAUUCUUCAACCACGUAUUGCCCAUCACUUAAACCUAGCCAUAUCCCCUAGCCCACCCCUCUCGGUAAUGGUUGGAAAUGGGGCGUUCAUUAAGUGCCAGGGUAUUUGUCCAUUGGUGGACAUAUCUCUCCAGAACUCUACCUUCAUUGUUCCCUUUUACCUUCUUCCGAUUGAAGGUGCGGAUGUUGUUUUGGGUGUGGAAUGGUUGAGCACGUUAGGGUCCAUCUAAGCAGAUUUCUCAAUCCCCAGCAUACAAUUUACCCACAACAACCAACAUAUUACAUUGCAAGCCCCCCACUCACCCAACCCAUCAGCUACCACUUAUCACCAAUUUUGCCACUAUCUAUCCAAUAACUCUAUUGCCUCUUUACACCUUCUAUCGGUGGACACCCAACACUGCCCCCAUACAACCUUAGCCACUACCAUUAAUAAUCUCACAUCCCCGUUAUCUCACCUACCCUCACCCAUCCAAUCCCUCCUUCAGGAAUACCAAGGUAUUUUUCAAAAACCAAGAGGGUUACCUCCACAGAGACCACAUGACCACCAUAUUCCUCUUUUACCUCAUACCCCACCAAUCAAAGUGAAACCAUACCGGUACCCACAUCACCACAAGGAAGUUAUUACAACACCGAUAUCAGAAAUGCUGCAAGAGGGCAUUAUUCAACCUAGUACAAGCCCAUUCUCUUCACCGGUGCUCUUAAUAAAAAAAAAGAUGGAACAUGGCAUUUCUGUGUGGAUUACAAAGCCUUAAAUGCAGCCACCAUUCGUGACCACUUCCCCAUUCCCACCAUUGAUGAACUGCUCGAUGAGUUAGGCUCAGCUACUGUUUUUACUAAAAUAGACCUACACUCAGGGUACCACCAAAUACUGCUUCUCCCAGAAGACACUCACAAAACAGCGUUUCGCACUAUAGACGGCCACUAUGAAUUCUUAGUGAUGCCAUUUGGUUUAACUAACGCUCCUUCUACUUUUCAAGCAGCCAUGAAUGAUCUUCUCAGACCAUACCUCCGCCGGUUUGUCUUAGUUUUUUUUGAUGAUAUUUUGAUUUAUAGUCCAAGUUUGCAGGAUCAUAUUGCUCACCUACAAACUAUAUUGGAAGUGCUACACACUCAGCAAUUUUUUGCCAAGCUUUCAAAGUGCAGUUUCGCAACUGCGGAAGUUAGUUACUUGGGUCACAUUAUUUCUGCACAGGGAGUCCAACCAGACCCAGAGAAAGUCAAAGCCAUACACGACUGGCCGCAACCACGAUCACUCACGGAAUUACGGGGGUUCCUCGACCUCACCGGAUUUUACAGGAAAUUCAUAAAGCAUUACGCCACUCUUGCCGCUCCUCUCACCGACUUAUUACAACACCACAAAUUUUCAUGGACUGAGCUCGCGCAGAAAGCAUUCGAAAAAUUAAAAUUACACAUGAAGACAAUGCCCACACUACACCUUCCAGAUUUUAAGCUGCCCUUUGUGGUCGAAACAGAUGCCUCUGCAAUGGCCAUAGGAGUCGUCCUCAGCCAAUCUGGGCAACCACUAGUUUUUUUCAGCAAAAAGAUGAAUCCCAAGCUCCAAGCUUCCUCCGUAUAUGUCCGAGAGAUGUAUGCCAUAACAGAGUCAGUAAAAAAAUGGCGUCAAUACCUCAUAGGACAACAUUUCAGAAUCAUAACAGAUCAAAAGAGCCUAAACACCCUCCUCUCCCAAACCAUUCAGACCCCAGAACAACAGAAAUGGAUUGCUAAAUUGCAGGGAUAUGAUUUUCAAAUUAUUUACCGACCUGGGAAGGAAAAUGUUGUGGUUGAUGCCCUUUCAAGGCAAGGUCAUGAUUCCUCUACCAUACUGCUUGCAGUGUCGUCCCCAAUCCCGCAGCUUAUUCAAGAACUCCAAACUUUCUUUGCCACCACAGAAGGUCAGGGAGUGGUCCAGGCGUGCACAAGCAGUCAACAACAGCCAAGCUUGUUCUUCACUAGCCACGGUUUACUGUUUUUUCGCCAUCAGAUAUUCGUGUCAGCAUCAUCUGAUUUCCGCCAGCGCAUUAUGACAGAGUUCCAUGCUUCCCCUUAUGGCGGCCAUUCCAGCAUCAAACCAACUCUCAAGCACAUAGCCGCUUCAUUCUAUUGGCCGAAAUGGACCAGAGACGUCCAUCGUUUUGUCCAACAAUGCUCCACAUGCCAAACAAAUAAGUAUAUGCCAACCAAAACUCAGGGUUUACUGCAACCAUUACCAAUUCCAAAACAAGUAUGGGAGGACAUAUCAAUGGAUUUUAUUACUCACCUUCCAGUCUCAUCCGGACACUCGGUCAUUUGGGUAUUGUGCGACAGACUCACAAAAUAUGCGCACUUCAUCGCUCUGCCCACACACUUCACGGCCCAGCAACUAGCCAAGCGUUUCUCAGUAGAAAUUUGUCGCCUCCACGGACUACCAAAAACCAUUGUCUCAGAUCGCGACCCCUUGUUUGUUAGCACUUCCUGGCAGCACCUGUUCAAAGCACAAGGAACAACGUUAAAAUUUAGCUCGUCAUACCAUCCCCAAACGGACGGUCAAACAGAGGUAUUGAACCGCGGCUUAGAGGCCUACCUGAGAUGUUUUGUGGGAAACCAACCAAACAAGUGGUACAAAUAUCUUCACUUGGCAGAACUUUGGCAUAAUACAACGUACCAUUCGGCUAUUGGAACCUCCCCGUUCCAUGCGUUGUACAGUCGACAACCACCCACAGUAGUUGACUUCUUAAGCGUCCCAAACGCUGGAACCUCCAUCCACGAGACACUGUCGGCACACACCGUCAUCCUCCACGACCUCAAGGAGCACUUGCGUCGCACACGCCAGCGCAUGUGUGACCAAGCUAAUCGCCACCGCACAGAUCGUAGUUUCGAACCAGGAGAAUGGGUGUGGGUACGACUCCAACCCUACCGGCAACACUCAUUGGAACGGUGAACACACCAAAAGCUUGGCCCGCGUUUUUCAGACCCAUACCAGGUACUACGCCGCAUCGGUGCCGUCGCAUAUGAGCUUCAACUGCCACCGUCGACGCGGGUCCACCCGGUUUUUCACGUUUCGCUGCUCAGACCUUUCAAAGGACCUGUGGGAGAACAUCAGGGUCUUCCUACCAAAUCCAAGAACUUGGCACUUCCAACACCACUUAACUCAUCUCCCAACCCAAAUCAGAACGCUCUGAACUCACCGUAUCAGGAACCCAAUGACAACACGCCAUGUGUUACACUCACAAAUCACACCGACUUAGCUGGCAUCGAGCCUCACGCUCACGUGCCCCACCAACAAGCCAUCUCCACGCCUCAUAAUCACCUCAACACGCGUUCUGAUAGAAUCAACAACAGAGCGCCACGUGUCCCACUCACUGGUGACGCGGUUUUCCCACGCCUCGAGCCCCACGCGCACCAGCAAACCCUUCCCACGCCCAUUAAUGGGCUGAACGCGCUUCCUGACGGAGCCAACAAGAGUGUGCCGCGUGUCCCACUAACUGAUGGUGCAGCUUCCCCACACCUCGAGCCGCGCGUCCCACUCACUGCUGGUGCAGCUUCCCCACGCCUCGAGCCCAACGCUAGCACUCCACGCAAUACAAACCCUAAUUCUAAAGCACCUUAAACGGCGCCACCCCCUCAAAACCCUAAAACCUUAGCACCACUCCCUACAAACCCUAAUGACUCAACAACCAAUACCCAACCCAACUCACCCUUAAUGGCCCAUCCAAUUCCUGCACCCCCGCGCCAGAUUGCAUACACCCCACCCCAUAUCCAAACCCACGAGAACCCACAACAACCCAGUCACCGUCCAACGGCCCAACUAAUUCCAAGAUCCCACUUUGAGGACAGAGUGUCUAGUGGCGCGGAUAGUAAUGUUAGACUGGGCCCAUACACAAGCACAAGACCAAAAAGACAGCCCAACUGGAUGAAGGACUUUAUAAUAGGAUAGACUCAUGUGUCCUUAGUAAAUGUCUGCCAUUUUAUUAUUGAAAGGUUUUUAUAAGGCCCAUGACCCUUUUUUACCCUUAUAGGGGACUAAGCAAUAGUAAAAAAGAGGGCAGAGAAGUUUUUGGUAACCCUAGUUUUAGAUUAACAGUAGCAAAAGCCUAACAGGUGCCAAAAAACUGAAGCCCAUCAAAUCAAUAACAGAAAGAAAUGAAAACAAUGAUGGAUUUCGAAAAAAAAAAAAACACUGAAACCAUAAAAAACAAUGAUGAUGGGUUUCAAAAGAAAAAAUGAAGCCAUCAAAACAAUGACAGAUGAAACAUAGGACCCAUUAUCAGUGUUAAAAACAUGUUUCCAAAAUGUAAUAUGUAGCACAAGACUAGCAAAAGAGCGUAAAUUGUGUAAUUUCUAUGUUCGGCCUACAAUAAGGUUGUAAGCAGUCCAUAUGCAUGAAAUACGCAGAAUCAGAAAAUCAAUAUUUUUGGCCGGUCGACACACUAUAUGAUGCAAUUCAUCCAGAAACAAAGGGGGUAUUUAUUCAAAUUCAAUGCUCUUUAUAGUUAUUGAACAUGUGAGAAGUCACAAUCAUAGCAGUGACAGAAUAUCAUGGUAUUGGAAGAAGCAACAAGCGACUAAAUUCAGUGGAGCUAUCAGGGCCAUUUGGUCUAUCUAGUCUGCAGGUUAAAGAAUCUGAAUCUAACAAGGGAUUCAGAAGGGUCAGAACUAUCAUUUGGCUUACAGUCUAAUCUAAACGAGUUAACCCUCCUAAAUUAAAAAUAAACUUUAAGGGGGUGGCGACAGAAUCAUUAAAUAAUUCAGAUACUUAAUAAGCCACUAAGUAAAUUGACAAAUAUCCAAAUAAUGAAAAGCACUACGGAAUAUUUUUUGGGUCUGGCACAUCAACUGACAGGGAAGAAAUACAAUUUUGCACUGUGACAAACAAAUACCUUCGUUGAUUGAUGUUUAGGACUUGGCAGAGUGGUAGCACAUAGUUCUUCCUUCACCCGGCAGGGAAGGGUAGGCACUGUGGGUGUCACAGGGUGAAAACUAGCAGAAGGUGGAAGGGAUGAGUCAAGCUUGCUUGUCUCUAGUUCAUUAUGAAGAUCAUUAAUCCGCUGUAGUAACUCCCUCAGGUAGUCAAUGGCAUCCCCAAGUAUUGAAGCC
rnacentral:lncRNA from 1 species